UACGGAGGGUGCGAGCGUUGUCCGGAAUCACUGGGCGUAAAGGGCGCGUAGGCGGCUACUUAAGCGUGUGGUGAAAGUCCGGGGCUCAACCCCGGAUCGGCCGUGCGAACUGAGUGGCUCGAGCACGGUAGAGGCAGGUGGAAUUCCGGGUGUAGCGGUGGAAUGCGUAGAGAUCCGGAAGAACACCGGUGGCGAAGGCGGCCUGCUGGGCAGUGGCUGACGCUGAGGCGCGACAGCGUGGGGAGCAAACAGG
rnacentral:rRNA from 1 species